UUCGAUAUGAUCUAGUGGUUAGGAUACCUGGCUUUUACCCACGGUGUUCGGAAUCGAUUCCCGGGAUCGGAA